GUAUGGGGGUUCCUCUCUUCACGGCUACGGCCUGUGGAAUGUCGCUUGAACCAGGUGUCGUGUUUAUAAUCCCCCUCUGCACUGGGGAAUACUGAUGGGAGCACAUGCAUCCGACACAUCUACAGGGAGAGAUGAUGGCAGCCAUAGCGACUGUGAUGGGAAGGCCUCCUCUUUCUGUGCCAGGCACCUGUGAAGAUCCCCACCAGGUGCUGACACACGUGCCAUCAGGAUCCCCACUGAUGAUGUCACUUCCAGCAGUAUGACAUCACUGCUGGCAAAUCUAUUGACAGUUCUGAUGAAAUUUCAGCACAAUCAAUAAACAGAUGCAAACUCCCCAA